CUUGGAAGAAGGAUAUUGGAAGUUUGUUGUGAUGCUGAUUCUAUUACGAACUGGACCGUGUAUGUAGAUUGCAGGGAUGGUGUAGCUGCCGAUGAAAACAUGCAUUAGGUUGCAUUUCACAGUGUCAAGAAACUCAUCUUCUUACAUAGUUUCAAUUUCUUCAUGGAAAAGUUCAGACCCCUAUGCGAUCUUUCCUAAGAGACUAACUAUA
rnacentral:lncRNA from 1 species